rnacentral:rRNA from 1 species
UACGUAGGGUGCAAGCGUUAAUCGGAAUACUGGGCGUAAAGCGUGCGCAGGCGGUGAUGUAAGACAGGUGUGAAAUCCCCGGGCUUAACCUGGGAACUGCAUUUGUGACUGCAUCGCUGGAGUGCGGCAGAGGGGGAUGGAAUUCCGCGUGUAGCAGUGAAAUGCGUAGAUAUGCGGAGGAACACCGAUGGCGAAGGCAAUCCCCUGGGCCUGCACUGACGCUCAUGCACG